rnacentral:rRNA from 1 species
UACGUGGGGGGCAAGCGUUGUCCGGAUUUAUUGGGCGUAAAGAGCGUGUAGGCGGCCUGAAAGGUCAGAUGUGAAAACUCGAGGCUCAACCUCGAGACGUCGGUUGAAACCAUCUGGCUAGAGUCCGGAAGAGGAGUGUGGAAUUCCUGGUGUAGCGGUGAAAUGCGCAGAUAUCGGGAGGAACACCGAUGGCGAAGGCAGGUCUCUGGGCAUUAACUGACGCUGAGGAGCGAAAGCAUGGGGAGCGAACAGG